UACGAAGGGGGCUAGAGUUGCUCGGACUGACGGGGCGUAAAGGGCGCGUAGGCGGACUGCACAGUCAGGCGUGAAAUUCCUGGGCUUAACCUGGGGACUGCGUCUGAGACGUGUGAUCUAGAGUGAGGAAGAGGGUCGUGGAAUUUCCAGUGUAGAGGUGAAAUUCGUAGAUAUUGGAAAGAACACCGGUGGCGAAGGCGGCGACCUGGUCCUUGACUGACGCUGAGGCGCGUAAGCGUGGGGAGCAAACAGG
rnacentral:rRNA from 1 species